UUCGCAAUGCCCGAAAGGGUGACGAAGCGACGCCGCGUGGGUGAGGAAGGCCUUCGGGUUGUAAAGCCCUGUCAGGAGUUAAGAAAUGUAAGUGCGCUAAUAUCGCAUUUAUUUGACGAAGGCUCCAAAGGAAGUCACGGCUAACUCUGUGCCAGCAGCCGCGGUAAUACAGAGGUGGCAAGCGUUGUUCGGAAUUAUUGGGCGUAAAGAGCACGUAGGUGGGUUUGCAAGUCAGAUGUGAAAGCCUCCUGUUCAACGGGAGAAUUGCAUCUGAAACUGCAGAUCUUGAGUGUAGGAGGGGAGAAUGGAACUUCUGGUGGAGCGGUGAAAUGCGUAGAUAUCAGAAGGAACGCCGGCGGCGAAAGCGAUUCUCUGGCCUAUUACUGACACUCAGUGUGCGAAAGCUAGGGGAGCAAACGGGAUUAGAUACCCCGGUAGUCCUAGCCGUAAACGAUGGGCACUAAGUAGAGGGGUUUU
rnacentral:rRNA from 2 species